rnacentral:rRNA from 1 species
UACGGAGGAUGCGAGCGUUAUCCGGAUUUAUUGGGUUUAAAGGGUGCGUAGGCGGAUUGAUAAGUUAGAGGUGAAAUGUCCGAGCUCAACUCGGGAACUGCCUCUAAUACUGUUGAUCUAGAGAGUAGAUGCGGUAGGCGGAAUGUAUGGUGUAGCGGUGAAAUGCUUAGAGAUCAUACAGAACACCGAUUGCGAAGGCAGCUUACCAAUCUAUAUCUGACGUUGAGGCACGAAAGCGUGGGGAGCGAACAGG